rfam:Stegodyphus mimosarum contig14739, whole genome shotgun sequence.
GUCUUUGUAGUGUAGUGGUCAGCACGCUUGACGAGUAUUCGAGAGGUCCGUGGUUCGAGUCCUGGCGAGAGCA